GAUGAACGCUGGCGGCGUGCUUAACACAUGCAAGUCGAACGGAAAGGCCCAAGCUUGCUUGGGUACUCGAGUGGCGAACGGGUGAGUAACACGUGGGUGAUCUGCUCUGCACUUCGGGAUAAGCCUGGGAAACUGGGUCUAAUACCGGAUAGGACGAUGGUUUGGAUGCCAUUGUGGAAAGUUUUUUCGGUGUGGGAUGAGCUCGCGGCCUAUCAGCUUGUUGGUGGGGUAAUGGCCUACCAAGGCGUCGACGGGUAGCCGGCCUGAGAGGGUGUACGGCCACAUUGGGACUGAGAUACGGCCCAGGCUCCUACGGGGGGCAGCAGGGGGGGAUAUUGCACAAUGGGGGCGAGCCUGAUGCAGCGACGCCGCGUGGGGGAUGACGGCCUUCGGGUUGUAAACCCCUUUCGCUAGGGACGAAGCGUUUUUGUGACGGUACCUGGAGAAGAAGCACCGGCUAACUACGUG
rnacentral:rRNA from 1 species